AUAGGCUAAAAAUUGCCUCAGUCAUGGCUGUGGCUGCAGUUGAGAUUUGGUGCCAUAGCUCACCCUCCAGUGCCUGGGUGUGUGGGAUUGAAACCCAGGCCACAACA
rnacentral:snoRNA from 1 species